rnacentral:rRNA from 1 species
AUACGGAGGGUGCGAGCGUUAAUCGGAAUUACUGGGCGUAAAGCGCGCGUAGGCGGUUUGGUCAGUCAGAUGUGAAAGCCCUGGGCUCAACCUGGGAACUGCAUUUGAUACUGCCAGGCUAGAGUAUGAUAGAGGGAAGUGGAAUUCCGGGUGUAGCGGUGAAAUGCGUAGAUAUCCGGAGGAACACCAGUGGCGAAGGCGACUUCCUGGACCAAUACUGACGCUGAGGUGCGAAAGCGUGGGUAGCAAACAGGAUUAGAAACCCUAGUAGUCC